ACCAUGGGAGUCGGGAAUGCCCGAAGCCAGUGACCCAAGCGAAAGCAGGGAGCUGUCGAAGGCAGGCCGGAUAACUGGGGUGAAGUCGUAACAAGGUAAC
rnacentral:rRNA from 1 species